rnacentral:rRNA from 1 species
CGGAAAGGAAAAUUCCUUGA